UCAAACCUGCAUAACUCGGCCACCAAAACGUGCAAAGUCAGAUUCAAAGACAUAUUAUUGGAUUGAAACUCCAAAAAUAUAUUAUCUUGAUAAGACACUUGAGUGUUUUCCACAAAACAAAUUUAAAAGGAUCUUUCAAAGAGAGGGAAAAAAGAAGAAAAAAAAAAAGGUAAAAUUUUUCUAUGGUACCUGAUGUAUUGCUACUUAAAUAAUUUGGUACCUGGUCAAUGAAAGCAGACCAUUUCGUACUUGGAUUUAUUCUUCGUCAGACAAUUUGGUACUUCACAUCCAUUUUUUACUUUACAAGUAAGGGCAUGAUUGUCAUUUCAACCUUAUUUUCAGAAGAAAAAGAAGAAGAAAAACAAAUUUAAAAAAUAAAAUUCUAGCAAUCGACCAGCUAUUAUAACUCUUUCGAGUAUUUAUCAUUUUUUGGGUAGUAUAGAGUAUUAAUAUAAGGGUAGUUCUAGUUGGACCACCAAAUUUGAUAUUUGGACCCCCCCUCCUACUUAUUAGAACUCCAAUUCACAUUUUUAAAUACUUAAAAAACUAAGUACACCUCCUUAAUUGUACCAUAACACCGUUGAACAAUUAAAUCUCUAUCUUUAACAAUUUAUUGUUUUUUUUUAUCUCUAUCAAUUCAACCACGAAUAAUUUUGCGAAAGAGUUACCUACACUUUUGGUGUACUUUCAUCUAGUGGCAGAACCAAAAAUUGAUUCUUGGAAUGGCCGAAUGAGUAGACAAUUAUAAAGAUUUUUUUGUUAAUCCAAAUAAUAGUUUUUUUUUUUUUAAUAUGAAUGGUUUUAAAAAAAAAACUUUGGUUCUCAAAUAAAUAAUAUAUAUUGAUUAUUUCAAAAAAACAAUUUGAUUAAAUCUAAUUAAAAAGAGUUAACCUUUGAUCUUAAUUUGUAAUAAUUACACCAAGUAAUAAUUACACCAAAAUAUUCAAUGAAUUUCGUUUAAGGAAAUUUCAAAUUAAAUUGUUUUAAAUUUAGUUUUCUAUCAAAUGAGGGGGCCAUAUUUUUUUGAAAUGGACUGGUGCGGCUGCCCUCAAGCCUUGAUUAAUGAAAUUGCAGAAUACAAGGGAGGGACGUAGAGCCUGAACCCCAGAUUACAAUAAGCAUAAAGAGAAUAUCCUGAAAUAAUACCAAGACUCUCUACAAAAUCUAUGUAUUCUAACAAGCACUAAAUAGCAAAGAGUGCACGAAUGAUUACUCCAUUUGCUUUGACAUAGCGGUGACAUACCGAAAAGAUAACUCUAUCACGAAGAAGCAUCAUUACAAAUAGUACAGCUUUCCCAUUAUGCUGCCGCACGGAAAUCAAUCAAGCGACACGCAAUUUCAUUUUGCCACUAGGAGGUUGCGUCCAUUUGAUCAAGCAAAUAGGUCGCCGCCUCACUAGGCUAGACAAGGCACACUGGGUGCGCAUACCGGGACCAAGCCCACGUCGCCCUAUCGUAAAGUGAUAGGGACUUAUUACCGGCAUAAAGCCACAUCUAAUUAAAUAUAACAUACGAUAAAAUAUAAAAAUAUAACAUACGAUAAUAUAUAAAAAUAAAACAUUUUAGGACCUGAGCCCAAACCCAGACCCAGGCCCAAAAUCCAUCCAGCCCAAGCAACAAAGCCCGGGCCCAAAGAACCAAGGCAGUCAGCCUCCAUCCCUCUCGCCCACCCCAACGUCGCGCCUGCACCAUCAUGCCACCUCGCUCACACUACACCAAAAACGUUAACACACAACACUUUUUGCACAACGGAAAAAAAAAAGUGUUGUGUGAUGAAGAAAAGUUAAUCACACAACAUGUUUAGUAAACUUACGUUGUAUAUGGUGGUUAAAAUUCUGAAGUUUUUGUUUAGAAAGUCAUUGCACAACGGUUACAAGAAUAAUCUGUUGUGUGAAUCAAAAAAAAAAUUUGCGGCAGAUUUCCCUCCUAGAUGGACUCAAAUUUGGCUCCAAAUUGUACAACAGUUUAGUUAUUUGUGUUGUAGGAGUAUACUUGCAAAUCAUCAUACAAUGGUUUUUAAUGUGCCGUUGUGCAAGUAAGUGGCAGAAUUUGGAGAAGUCUCCAAAAUGACAUUCAUUCCCCCUCAAAACAAGCAAAUUUGGCUUCAAUGGUUUGUCAUGCUUGCAACUUCCUACAACAUAAUGAACUAUUUCUGUUGUGUGAAUCAGAAAUGCCUAACGUGAGCGCCAAAACUGGCAUUUUAAUUGCACAAGCGGGAAAUUUUCAUGUUUUGUUCCCUCAGCUAUGUAGCAAUUCAGACAACGUAAAUGUAUCUAUACGUUGUCUGAGUAACUUAAAAAAAAAAAAAAAAAAAAAGCUAUUGCUUAAUGCCUUAGACAACUGAGGGCACAUUUAAACAAAGUUGCUUGGCUAUUUUUCAUAGCCUCUCGAUCUCUUCUCUCAGGACGCCCAACACUCACAGCUCUCCAUCUCUCUCGCGAAAUCUCUGUCCUCCUCAUCGUUGAACUCUCACGUUCUACUCUCUCUCUCUCUCUCUCUCUCUCUUCAGAUUGCUCCUCUCCUUAUCUCACUCUUAGUCUUCUCUCGCUCACUUCUUCAUCCAACUCUCUUCUUUACCCAGAAAUCAUAGUCUUCCUCUCUCUUUCAUUCUGAAAUCCCAAAUAGGGAAACCCCAAUCUUAGAUUCCCCGAAAUCAACCAAAUCUCUAUUGGUCGAACCCUCAAUCUGAAACCCAAAUUUCAUUGACCUAACUCUCGUCUCCACAAUUAGCCGGAUUUACACUGGACAACCAUGGGCCAGGAACUUGAUGAAGAACAAGCAGCGCCGCUGGUCAUCCUCCGAUGGCAAGAUUUGGGCGAGUUGCCAGAAAAACGAGCUGAUUAUUAAGGCUCCCGAAAAGGCGAGAACGGGGGGUGGAAGAAUACCCGAUAUCCAUUGCUAGUUCCAGGUGAACUCUCUGCGAGAUUGCACAAUUUCAAGAACUCCCACUGCUUAUUUCUGGAAUCUCUUCUUUCUUGCUUCUGGGGCCUUCUUAUUUGCUGAUCUCGCAUUGUUCUUUUACAUGGAAUUCCAGGGACUAGAAAAACCGCUUUAUGUAAAGCAUUAGCUCAAAAACUAUCCAUCUGAUUUAACUCCAGAUACCUACAGUCCCAAUUGCUUCAAAUUAAUGCACAUUCUCUAUUCAACAAAUGAUACUCUGAAAAUGGCAAGCUGAUGAAGUUGAAAGUCUCGCUGCUAUUAAAAAAUUUGCUUGAUCGAGUUUGGAACCUUCAGAUUCUAUUCAGGUUCUGGACUGGCUUUUUUGGCUGAGGUGUCUUUGGUUGGACAUUUGGACAGAAAUUGCAAACCACUCGCUUCAACUUUAAAGGUUUGACACCAUGGCUGCACAGAUUAAGUUCCUGGAAUAGUGGGAAGACAAGAGUUUGUAUCAAUAUGUUGGCUAUUGAAACCAAGUUCCUGCACAAACUCUAUAUGUGGCAUGUUUUACGUAGUUGUAUCAGCUUUUGGGAAAUGCUUUUAACAUUAAGAGAUAUAUGGAAUAGGUUUGAUUACUC